CUUUUUUUUAUUUCUUCCUUUAUCGCUCUUCCCUCUUUUCCCCACCAAAGGGGGAAGAGGCAAGGGCUGCCCCACCAAAAAGAGGGGAGGGGAAGGGCUUUCAGCCCGAUUGCAGCCCCGACCGAGGACCGGCGGCGGCUACGGCGGCCGAGGACCAACCACCAGAGGGGGAAGGGCAAGAGCCCACCCCAUAUGAGACAGAGGAGGGAAAGAGGACCUCUAGCUUGCACGGCGGCCCGGUCAAGGGCUUGCAGCGACUGCGGCCGAGAGCUUGCAGCGAGUGCGGUCGAGGACCAAUGGAGGAGUCCUUAAUGGGUCUUUAUGUUGCGAGCUUAGCCAGUUAGCAAUGCAUUCGUCUUUUGUUGCAGGAGCUUAUGACCGAGUUUCAGGGCACAUCCAAAGAAGGUAUUAUCUGAAGAUGAAAACAAUGUGAAAGCGUUAUGUAGACGAGGAAAAGCCAGAGCACAACUUGGUCAAACAGAUGCUGCCAGGGAGGACUUUCAAAAGGCCAGAAAAUUUGCCCCAGAAGACAAGGCUAUUGUGAGAGAACUGUAGCAGCUUGCUGAACAUGACAAAGCUGUCUAUCAGAAGCAGAAAGAGAUUUGUUACCUUAAUUUAUUUUUAAAUGGGAUCAUAAAGGUCUUGCAUUGCAUGUUCCUUAUAUUUUCUGUUAGUGUUGAUGCUUGUUUUUCGUAUUGAAUAGAAAAGCUCUCUCUCUCUCUCUCUAUAACUGCUAAAUUUACAUUUGGGAGAAUGAAUUGAUUUAGUGGCA